rnacentral:rRNA from 1 species
UACGUAGGGUGCAAGCGUUGUCCGGAAUUAUUGGGCGUAAAGAGCGUGUAGGCGGCCCCAUUAGUCCGCUGUGAAAGUCCAGGGCUCAACCCUGGAAUGCCGGUGGAUACUGUGGGGCUAGAGUCCGGAAGGGGCGAGUGGAAUUCCUGGUGUAGCGGUGAAAUGCGCAGAUAUCAGGAAGAACACCCGUGGCGAAAGCGGCUCUCUGGAACGGUACUGACGCUGAGACGCGAAAGCGUGGGGAGCGAACAGG